GCAGAAACUCAGGCAGGUCAUGUGCCUGGGGCAGAGAGGGAGCUGCUGGGUUUUUCAAGGAAGCGAUAUCUGGACCAAGGAAGGGGAAUGUGUUAUCUGUGAGAAGGGGGUAAGGCAUUAACUGAUUGACAAGGUCUAGCCAGUUUGGAAACCAGCUGGACAAAUGCCUGGUUAUUUCUACGGAAACGUGCACAUUUCACAUACUUUUCCAAACAGACUUGGGUCUGCUGUGAUGUACGUGAGUAGCUGCAUCAACCUGAUCUCAGCCAAGAAAUCUAGAUCUGCGUGUCCACCAUGAUAGCCUCUAGCCACAUGUGGCUAUUGAGCGUUUGAAAUAUCGCUGGGCCGAGUUGAGAUGUGCUGUAAAUGUAAAACACACGCUGGAGUUCAAAGAUUGAGUAUGUGAAAGAGAAUGUAAAAUAUUUAUAUAUUGCAUAUGUUAAAGUAAUCAUAUUUUGGAUAU